rnacentral:rRNA from 1 species
AGAGUUUGAUCCUGGCUCAGAUUGAACGCUGGCGGCAGGCCUAACACAUGCAAGUCGAGCGAGAAAGCACUUCGGUGUGAGUAGAGCGGCGGACGGGUGAGUAACGCGUAGGAAUCUGCCUAGUAGUGGGGGACAACAUAGGGUUAAGCUAAUACCGCAUACGCCCUACGGGGGAAAGCAGGGGAUCUUCGGACCUUGCGCUAUUAGAUGAGCCUGCGUCGGAUUAGCUAGUUGGUAGGGUAAAGGCCUACCAAGGCAACGAUCCGUAGCUGGUUUGAGAGGACGAUCAGCCACACUGGGACUGAGACACGGCCCAGACUCCUACGGGAGGCAGCAGUGGGGAAUAUUGGACAAUGGGCGCAAGCCUGAUCCAGCAAUGCCGCGUGUGUGAAGAAGGCCUGCGGGUUGUAAAGCACUUUCAGUAGAGAAGAAAAGUUUAGGGUUAAUACCCCUGGAUCUUGACGUUACCUACAGAAGAAGCUCCGGCUAACUCCGUGCCAGCAGCCGCGGUAAUACGGAGGGAGCGAGCGUUAAUCGGAAUUACUGGGCGUAAAGCGCGCGUAGGCGGUAUUGUAAGUGGGAUGUGAAAGCCCCGGGCUCAACCUGGGAACUGCAUUCCAAACUGCAAAACUAGAGUAUGGUAGAGGGUAGUGGAAUUUCAGGUGUAGCGGUGAAAUGCGUAGAGAUCUGAAGGAACAUCAGUGGCGAAGGCGACUACCUGGACUGAUAUUGACGCUGAGGUGCGAAAGCGUGGGGAGCAAACGGGAUUAGAUACCCCGGUAGUCCACGCCGUAAACGAUGUCAACUAGUUGUUGGGCCUAUUAAAAGGUUUAGUGACGAAGCUAACGCGAUAAGUUGACCGCCUGGGGAGUACGGCCGCAAGGCUAAAACUCAAAUGAAUUGACGGGGGCCCGCACAAGCGGUGGAGCAUGUGGUUUAAUUCGAUGCAACGCGAAGAACCUUACCAGGUCUUGACAUCCAGAGAAUCUUUCAGAGAUGAGAGAGUGCCUUCGGGAAUUCUGAGACAGGUGCUGCAUGGCUGUCGUCAGCUCGUGUCGUGAGAUGUUGGGUUAAGUCCCGUAACGAGCGCAACCCUUAUCCUUAGUUGCCAUCAGUUCGGCUGGGCACUCUAAGGAGACUGCCGGUGACAAACCGGAGGAAGGUGGGGACGACGUCAAGUCAUCAUGGCCCUUAUGGGCAGGGCUACACACGUGCUACAAUGGUCGGUACAGAGGGUUGCGAAGCGGUGACGUGGAGCCAAUCCCAGAAAACCGAUCUUAGUCCGGAUUGAAGUCUGCAACUCGACUUCAUGAAGUCGGAAUCGCUAGUAAUCGCGAAUCAGAAUGUCGCGGUGAAUACGUUCCCGGGCCUUGUACACACCGCCCGUCACACCAUGGGAGUUGGUUGUACCAGAAGUCGGUAGUCUAACCUUCGGGAGGGCGCCGCCCACGGUAUGGUCAAUGACUGGGGUGAAGUCGAAACAAGGUA